UUCGCAAUGCCCGAAAGGGUGACGAAGCGACGCCGCGUGGGUGAGGAAGGCCUUCGGGUUGUAAAGCCCUGUCAGGAGUUAAGAAAUGUAGACUCGCUAAUAUCGGGUCUAUUUGACAAAGGCUCCAAAGGAAGCCACGGCUAACUCUGUGCCAGCAGCCGCGGUAAUACAGAGGUGGCAAGCGUUGUUCGGAAUUAUUGGGCGUAAAGAGCACGUAGGUGGAUUUGUAAGUCAGACGUGAAAGCCUUCUGUUCAACGGAAGAAUUGCAUCUGAAACUACAAACCUUGAGUGUAGGAGGGGAGAAUGGAACUUCUGGUGGAGCGGUGAAAUGCGUAGAUAUCAGAAGGAACGUCGGCGGCGAAAGCGAUUCUCUGGCCUAUUACUGACACUCAGUGUGCGAAAGCUAGGGGAGCAAACGGGAUUAGAUACCCCGGUAGUCCUAGCCGUAAACGAUGGGCACUAAGUAGAGGGGUUUU
rnacentral:rRNA from 2 species